rnacentral:rRNA from 1 species
GACGAACGCUGGCGGCGUGCCUAAUACAUGCAAGUAGAACGCAGUUGCGAACGGGUGAGUAACGCGUAGGUAACUGCCUGGUAGCGGGGGAUAACUAUUGGAAACGAUAGCUAAUACCGCAUACUACCAGAUGGACCUGCGUGGUAUUAGCUAGUGUGUGGGGUAACGGCUCACCAAGGCAACGAUGCAUAGCCGGACUGGGAGGGUGAGCGGCCACACUGGGACUGAGACACGGCCCAGAACCCUUCGGUAGGCAGGAGUAGGGAAACUUCGGUAAUGGGGGGAACCCUGACCGAGCAAAGGCGGGUGAGUGAAGAAGGUUUUCGGAUCGUAAAGCUCUGUUGUUAAGGGAGCGGUACUUAACCAGAAAGGGACGGCUAAAUACGUGCCAGCAGCCGCGGUAAUAC